AUUGAACGCUGGCGGCAGGCCUAACACAUGCAAGUCGAGCGGAGCUGCGGACGGGUUAGUAAUUCCUAGUAAUCUGCCUUGUCGUGUGUGAUCACUUCCUGAACCGGUCUCUCAUCCCGCCUACUCUCAGCUUCGCCUAGUUCGUCUUAGCUCGUUGGUGGGGUAAAGGCCUACCAAGGCGACGCUCCGUACCUGUUCUGAGAGUAGGAUCAGUCACACUGGAACUGAGACACGGUCCAGACUCCUACGGGAGGCAGCAGUGGGGAAUAUUGGACAAUGGGCGAAAGCCUGAUCCAGCCAUGCCGCGUGUGUGAAGAAGGUCUUCGGAUUGUAAAGCACUUUAAGUUGGGAGGCGUUAACAACAGAAUAAGCACAGGCUAACUUCGUGCCAGCAGCCGCGGUAAUUC
rnacentral:rRNA from 1 species